rnacentral:rRNA from 1 species
ACUCCUACGGGAGGCAGCAGUGGGGAAUAUUGCGCAAUGGGCGAAAGCCUGACGCAGCGACGCCGCGUGAGGGAUGAAGGCCUUCGGUUGUAACUCUUCAGCGCAGAAGAAGCGAAAGUGACGGUAUGCGCAGAAGAAGCACCGGCUAACUACGUGCCAGCAGCCGCGGUAAUACGUAGGGUGCAAGCGUUGUCCGGAAUUAUUGGCGUAAAGAGCUCGUAGGCGGUUUGUCGCGUCUGCUGUG